rnacentral:rRNA from 1 species
UACAGAGGUCUCAAGCGUUUGUUCGGAUUCAUUGGGCGUAAAGGGUGUGUAGGUGGUGCCGUUAGUCGGGUGUGAAAUUUCGGAGCUUAACUCCGAAACUGCAUUCGAUACUGCGGUGCUUGAGGACUGGAGAGGAGACUGGAAUUCAUGGUGUAGCAGUGAAAUGCGUAGAGAUCAUGAGGAAGACCAGUGGCGAAGGCGGGUCUCUGGACAGUAACUGACGCUGAGGAGCGAAAGCGUGGGGAGCGAACAGG